rnacentral:tmRNA from 1 species
GGGGGUGUUAUGGAUUCGACGGGGUGGAAGAAGGACUCAAAUGCAUGCCGAGCUACGCUGGUGGAGCUCGUAAAUACAACUGGCGAACCAAAGAUGCUAACAAUGUUAGCUACGCAAUGGCAGCAUAAUUUAUGCUCCCGUUGUUGAGAAUGUCGAGCUUUAGUUCCAUUCUCCAUCGGACUGAGGAGAGCCGCCGCUGCUCAACUCCGGUGACGCUUAUAGGUGGAUUGCCAAGUGCCGCGUGUUCCGGUAUGCGGUGAAACAACAGAACAAUAGCCACGGGUGUAUGUGUCGGGUUGCGUGAACGCCGUGGUGAAUUUCCUACACCGACUACGCAUGGAGUAAGUUGAGCGUUCUGCACUUCGGACGCGGGUUCGACUCCCGCCACCUCCACUA